UUUAUCCUACGGGAGGCAGCAGUAGGGAAUCUUCCACAAUGGACGAAAGUCUGAUGGAGCAACACCGCGUGAGUGAAGAAGGGUUUCGGCUCGUAAAACUCUGUUGGUAGUGAAGAAAGAUAGAGGGAGUAACUGGCCUUUAUUUGACGGUAAUUAUUUAGAAAGUCACGGCUAACUACGUGCCAGCAGCCGCGGGAAUACGUAGGUGGCAAGCGCUGUCCGGAUUUAUUGGGCGUAAA
rnacentral:rRNA from 1 species